UGGAAGUUGAUUCUCCUCAUGUGAUCGAUCAAAUCACUGACACUUAUCGGUCAUUUUCGUGUUCACGGAGAAUUACGAACAGACAAGUUUUUGUCGUAUAUACGUGCGAAGUAACCCGAAUAGUCCAUUCGUUACAUUCCGUUGAUGUACCCUGCCGAAUAGAGUCAUUCGUUCAAUUUUUAUUUUAGUCCAUUUUUUUUCCUAUUUUUGGUUAGUUUGAUCUUAAUAGUUUAAACCGACAGCUAUCACAUACGAAAUUGGAGAACAAGGCUGGGUCAUUUUCAAUUUUAAUAUUUACAGACAGUAAAAAACCAUUUCUGUAAGUUAAGAAGAUGAUUGUUAAAAAAAUACGUUUGGACCCCUUUAUUAAAUUCGAAAAAUCUAAGUCUUCGUGUAUUAGUCAAUUAAAAUAUUCACAAUUCUAAACGGUUCUAUCCUUCAAUUUAAGUUCUUGAUACAUAAACUAAUUUGUGUAAAAGUGAAUUUGCCGUAAGACAGAGCCCAUUUCGUCGGUUUGUCACAGUAUAAUUUUGCUGUAGCUUAUUAUAUAAAUGUGCAUUCCACAAUAAACAUUUGUAAAAAA
rnacentral:lncRNA from 1 species